rnacentral:rRNA from 1 species
AACGAACGCUGGCGGCAUGCCUAACACAUGCAAGUCGGACGAACCCUUCGGGGUUAGUGGCACACGGGUGCGUAACGCGUGGGGAUCUGCCCUGUGCUUCGGAAUAACAGUUAGAAAUGACUGCUAAUACCGGACGAUGUCUUCGGACCAAAGAUUUAUCGGCAAUGGAUGAGCCCGCGUAGGAUUAGGUAGUUGGUGGGGUAAAGGUCUACCAAGCAGACGAUCGUUAGCUGGUCUGGGAGGAUGAUCAGCCACACUGGGACUGGGACACGGCCCAGACUCCUACGGGAGGCAGCAGUGGGGAAUAUUGGACAAUGGGCGCAAGCCUGAUCCAGCAAUGCCGAGUGAGUGAUGAAGGCCUUCGGGUCGUAAAGCUCUUUUACCAGGGAUGAUAAUGACAGUACCUGGAGAAUAAGCUCCGGCUAACUCCGUGCCAGCCGCCGCAGUAACAC